ACAACUAGGAUCUUCUGCUCUGGGUGGAGAGUUGGACAAAAUAACUUCGAAUUUGAGGUUUGUAGGUUCUAUGAAAAUACAGGCUUUUUGUUUUGUUUUGUUUUGUGUUUUAAAGACAGAUGAACCCAGCAGGCAAGCUGGCAGGAAGUCUGACUGCAGUACUUGCCUGAGAGGAUGACACAGGCCAAAUGAGAAAAGGAAAACAACAAGGCAGCCAGAGCUAGUAAAGCACUUUGCAAAGUAGCUGCAGAGCUUUCCAGGAUUUUCUGGAAAAAGGAAGAAAAGGAGAGUAAAGGGCAGGAAGAGGAUUGGUUAACAACUGGAUUCAGAAAUGCCGAUGAGUGGAUUUGCCUAUCGGUUUUGUUUUUCUAAGUCAGGGAUAAGGAAAGAGGGUACACUUGGCCUGGCGCUGCCUGCUGGCAGGGCUUCCUUCCCCAGGCUGUGCUGAAGCCAUCCUUAGAGCUGCCAGGGUGUCCUGAGGCCUGCUGCCCUGUGCAACUCACUGGAAAAGAGGACAGACUGCCCUCCAAAGAUGUCUAAGGCACAUGGUACAGUGGAAGGAAGGGACAGCAGUUUUGUUUAAUUUCAUGUUGCUUAAAAAAAUGUUUAUAUGCAUUUGCUUUUUUGAACAGAUAAUUUAUUUAUAUGUUUAAAACUAAAAAAAAUGAAAAGAUGUACAUCUCUUCUGUCCCUGUCCCCCAAAUGCCCACUUUCCCCCACCCUAAAUAGAUAACCCUGUUAUAAGGUUUUUGUUUAUCCUUCUAACGUUGUUUUUCUACACAUACAAGCUAAAACAAAUCUAUACCCUUCCUUACUCCAUUUUAACAUAUUUAGUGCCAGUCUGUACACGUUCUACACGUUUGUUGGGUUUUUCCCCCGCUUUAACACCCUAUCUUGGUGACAUUUCCUUAUCGGUAUAUGAGAGUAUCCUCAUUUUUAUCUAUCUUUGCGGCUGUAGAGUAUUACAUUGUAUGGACUACUAUAAUUUAACUGGUUCCCAUCAAGGGGUGUUUAGAUUGUUUCCAGUCUUUUGGCAUUACAAAUAAAAGCAUGGACUUUAGAGACAUGUGCUUUCAAACCCCAGUCCCGAUGCCUACUAGGUGAUUGACAAUGGGUCUUAAUUGCCUCCUCUGUAAAGAGGAAUUUUUUGUUUGUUUGUUUGUUUGAGACAGAGUUUUGCUCUUGUUGCCCAGGAUGGAGUUCAGUGGCGCGAUCUCAGCUCACUGCAACCCCCGCCUCCUGGGUUCAAGCAAUUCUCCAGCCUCAGUCUCCCAAGUGGCUGGGAUUACAGGCAUGUGCCACCAUGCCCGGCUAAUUUUGUAUUUUUACUAGAGACGGGGUUUCGCCAUGUUGGUCAGGCUGGUCUCGAACUGCUGACCUCAGAUGAUCCACCCGCCUCGGCCUCCCAAAGUGUUGGGAUUACAGGCAUGAGCCACUGCACCCGGCCAGGAAUUAUUUUAUGUUUAUUUCACCUGUCCCUUAACAUUGCUGUGAAAGACUCAUAUAAUAUACAAAGAACUUGAGAAAUCCUAGGUGCUCAGUGGAAACAAUAUACCUUGCAAUGAAGCAUAUUCAAAUUUAUUCUUGAAAAAAAGAAUACUGAUCAGGACCC
rnacentral:lncRNA from 10 species